GUCUUGGUGGCCUGAGGAUUAAUACUGGGGAAGCUGGAGACUUAUUACCACAUGACCUACACUCCCAGCAGGUGGUAUAAGGAGAGAGAAGAGUGAGAAGAUCUCUAUGAACUGAUGCAGAGCAGAGUGAACCAAACCUGAAGAAGAAUUUAUACAAAGAUAAUGUUAUGAAGAAAAAUGACUUUGAAAGACUUUAGAACUUGGGACCAUCAAUGAUAAACUAUGAGUCCAAAGGAAUGAAGAUAAAUUAUGCUACUUACUGCCUGUCAGGAAUGGUUCUCUGUGAGACCUAUAAGAAGAAAUUUAGUUGAUGGAAAAAUCAAUCAAAUCAAGCUCUUAUCCAAGGAGAUUGAAGAGAACUGAGGAAAGCAAAGAAGGGGAAGAGAGCCAGAAAAAGAUGAAGAGAAAAAAAUUAAUUAAAGUUGAUCAAUAUGUUGAAAAAA